rnacentral:rRNA from 1 species
GAUUUAUNGGGCGUAAAGGGAGCGCAGGCGNUCAGGAGAGUCUGGAGUAAAAGGCUAUGGCUCAACCAUAGUGUGCUCUGGAAACUGUCUGACUUGAGUGCAGAAGGGGAGAGUGGAAUUCCAUGUGUAGCGGUGAAAUGCGUAGAUAUAUGGAGGAACACCAGUGGCGAAAGCGGCUCUCUGGUCUGUCACUGACGCUGAGGCUCGAAAGCGUGGGUAGCGAACAGGAUUAGAUACCCUGGUAGUCCACGCCGUAAACGAUGAGUGCUAGGUGUUAGGCCCUUUCCGGGGCUUAGUGCCGGAGCUAACGCAAUAAGCACUCCGCCUGGGGAGUACGACCGCAAGGUUGUAACUCAAAGGAAUUGACGGGGGCCCGCACAAGCGGUGGAGCAUGUGGUUUAAUUCGAAGCAACGCGAAGAACCUUACCAGGUCUUGACAUCCCGAUGCUAUUCUUAGAGAUAGGAAGUUACUUCGGUACAUCGGAGACAGGUGGUGCAUGGUUGUCGUCAGCUCGUGUCGUGAGAUGUUGGGUUAAGUCCCGCAACGAGCGCAACCCUUAUUGUUAGUUGCCAUCAUUAAGUUGGGCACUCUAGCGAGACUGCCGGUAAUAAACCGGAGGAAGGUGGGGAUGACGUCAAAUCAUCAUGCCCCUUAUGACCUGGGCUACACACGUGCUACAAUGGUCGGUACAACGAGUUGCGAGCCGGUGACGGCAAGCUAAUCUCUGAAAGCCGAUCUCAGUUCGGAUUGGAGGCUGCAACUCGCCUCCAUGAAGUCGGAAUCGCUAGUAAUCGCGGAUCAGCACGCCGCGGUGAAUGCGUUCCCGGGCCUUGUACACACCGCCCGUCACACCACGAGAGUUUGUAACACCCGAAGUCGGUGAGGUAACCUUUUAGGGGCCANCCGCCUA